rnacentral:lncRNA from 1 species
AAUAUGAGAACGGGCUCUGCAGGCAGGGUCUGCGGAGAUGCCACCGUCAGUGCGGCACUGCGGGGAACUGACCUCAGCGGGCGUGGUGCAAAUGAAUCCCGAAUUCCACUUAGUCAACCGAAUAGGGGUUUCUUCUUUUGCCUCAUGGCCUUAUAACAGUCCCCCAAAGUUCAGCAAAUAGGAUGCGUCUGCCCCUCUAGGCUGUUCAUUCCUCACCAUAUAUUGUGUGGAUCCAUAUGGCAUAAAUGAUUUAAAUACCGCUGCAUACAAAAUACACAUUAGAAUUUAUUUCUGAAAUCAAGAUUCCAUUACCAGUGAUGGAAGUUAUUGUUCACAAAUGGGAGAUGCCUGUGCAUGGCUACUGCUGAAACCUGACCGCGGAAAAGAUAAACUAUAAACCGGUGUAUUUGCUCGGGGUCGAGCUCAUUCACAGACUUAUUCAAAUCAGGUCCGUGGGGUUUCUUCUUGCCAGCUCUCCAUCCUGGAUUCCUCUGCAGUCCCUUCCUUCAGGUGACAGGAUGGAGCAAGUUCCAUUACGUUCCAUCUCGGCUUAAUCCCUUGCUGUGACGAGAAGUGGAAAAUGCAAUUAAAUGCACUUCUGAAACUCCCCCGUCCGAGUGCUGUUUACAGCGUGGCCUGCAUUAAGCAGGCUGAGCAGGGCCACUCCUUUUGCAUCUGGUGGCUUUCCGCAGCUUUGGGAAAGCUGUUUGUAAAUUAAAGCAUUCAGUCAGCCGCUCUGAGAAUCAAUCCCAGUUUGUUAUAAAAGAAUAUGGUUGAAAUCAACAUUCGUGUGGGUUGUGUUUGGAGUGGGGUUUCAGAGGGGAAGGGCUGGCGGGACGAUCCCUGGAGCCUGAACGUGGGAUCCAUCUGGUUCACCAAAUGGCAGAGGAAUUUCAAUAUUAACAGACCUUAAAUUUACCUUAAAAUAGGAUUCUGAGCCAAGCGGGACUUUUCCUCCCUCACCUUAAAUGUUCAUCCAUUAUUUAGAUAAGCAGAAGCUGCCGUGCAAAGCUGCUCAUUUCUUUCCAAGGUGCCACUUUCUUGCCUCACCAUAGUUCCUUUGCUUCUCUCCUAGGGAAGGAUAUUAAGUGACAGGUGACUCAGAGCCGGGGUGAGACGAAACCUGCUCUUGGGUCCACCUAGGGUUUAGUGGGUGGCCGUGACCAGGACAGGGAGCCUGCUGGUGAUGCUGUUUUUGCCUACAUGUCAUCAGCUUGAAGAGGUCGCCACGCUUCCUGCAUAAAGUAGCCUUACUCUGUCUCUGACUGGUUGCGGAUCUGAUAUGGCAAAGCACCCAGCAAACAUUUCUUCAGGGGCUCCGUUGAGGCUCAGUGGCUGUGGCUGUGGCAGAGGCUGCAGCUUCGGCUCCAACUGUACCCCGAGCCUGGGAACUUUUGUGUGCUGUGUAUGCAGCCAUAAAGCAACAACAACAACAACAACAACACAUUUCUUCAGCACAUUUCCUCAAACGGUGGCCAGUUUUCACACCACCUCCUCCUCUUGAAUCUUCCUUCCUCUCUCACAAACACUAAGAGCGUUCAGUAAGCAGCAGCGACACGGGUGUUGAGAGGCUGAUGUGAACCACGCAUGGUGCUAAGGGCUCUGGAUCAAAAGGGGCAUCGUAAAAGGACAUCGCAUGGGUCCCCGUCUUCCCCAGACCCUCUCGUCAGGGGACCGUCUGGGCUUCCACAAAAAGCUUUAACCCCACACUUCACCCAAACCGCCCAAGGCAACCUGUGUGUCAGAAUUCCCAGAUCUGCCAGCCCCGGGGGUCUUACUGUUUGGUGCGGUUUAUAAACCCAUGUGCUCACCCAUCACAGGGAGCUCCUCACCCCCACCACGAUGGACCCGUCUCUGAGACGUCUGCCCCCUGCCCCCCACCCCGAACUCCUUCCACUUUUAUUGUGGGCAUAAAAUCACACAGCUGCUGAGGGUAGAAUGAAGUCCCCAGGAAGCACUGCAAAGCAUAUUUUUUUGCCAAGUGGACAUGAUAAGGGUUUUAUUAUUAUUAUUAUUAUUAUUAUUAUCAUCAGCACAAAUGGUCAAACAUUGCCAAACUCUCCUCAUUUCUUCAAUUGUCUUUAUAACUAGGCUUGGAUUGUUUUCAGUCCUGCUCUCUUUUUCUUUGUUGGGAUUAAGGUCUUAACAUGACUCUAAGCCCCCAGAGCUGGUGCCGUGUGACCGUCCCAGUGUCUUCAUCCCUCUAUUGUCUGUGUGACCUCUCCCUGCAUUCUGAGGUGAGGUGCUGGAUGCCCUCCUGUGUCCCACCUGUCCCUGGCAUGCUGCAUGCACAGUGUCUGGGGGUGCCUCUCAACAAGAGGGCAACUCUGUGCAUAGAAACACUUGCCGGCAGCAACCGGGGUGGACUUCUGGUCGACCCCUCCGGGCCUACUCUACUUGUUAGCCAUGCUCUGCAUCAUCCCCACCUCUUAGGUCUCACAUCUUUCCUGCCCCCCAGCACUGGGGCCCCCACAUCCCAGCCUGACCCCAAAUGCAUCCCUCCCCAGUCAUAGCAAUGGAUCUCCUGCCCCAGAGAAGGAGAAGCUUCUAACACUGUUAGAAAGACUAUGAUAUAUCUGGCAAUGUAUAAGGCAUAAUGAGAGCAAAUGAUGUUCAUUGCAUUGCUACAAACAAAAAAAGAGAAGAAGAAAAAAUAGGAAACUUGUAGGAGAUCAGAGGAAAGGGUUUUAGGGUGGGCUGAGGAAGAACACAAAGGAGACAGAGGGAGCUAGUAUGCAGGAACAAAGACUAAAAUUGAAAUGCAAAGAUGGGAAAUGUGAAUACUUUAUGGAACCAUAGGGUUCAUUUAAUAUGAUAGCAGCCUGUCUUUAGAGACCUCACUGAACUCAGACAGGUGCGUAUGAGAGGCUGAAUAGAGGGACUGGGAUAGUAGUCCCAUCUCUGGCAUGGAAGGUGUGUGACUUUAGAUUGUAGUCCCAUCUCUGGCGCGGAGGGUGUAUGACUUUAGACUGGAGUCCCAUCUCUGGCGUGGAAGGGGUGUGACUUUAGACUGUAGGCCCAUCUCUGGCGUGGAAGGAGUGUGACUUUAGACUGUAGGCCCAUCUCUGGCAUGGCAGGUGUGCGACUUUAGACUGUAGUCCCAACUCUGGCGUGGAGGGUGUAUGACUUUAGACACAUUAGUCACCUUCCACUGACCUCCUUUAAUGCCCGUGUUAGGCGCUAGGGCGUGUGGAGGCUGGUGGCCAGUAGAGCUUUCUGUGAUGAAACACAGAAGGAGGGGAAUCUGCGGCAUGUCCUAAUGAGCGACUCCUUAAGCGUUUGGAAGCGAAGAUGAUUUUGUGGACUUAGGAAAAAUGAUGAGGAGGGCAUUGCAUGAGGAGCCAAAGGGCGGACGGACGUGUAAAAAUUAGGAAGUUAGUUGAAGGAGCUGUGUAACUAUGACGUGGACCAGUGCGGUGAGUAUAGGAUGAAGCAGAAGAACAGAGUGUGAAGGGAGGAAAGCAACGUCCAGAAUGUCCUCGAGGUCAGAUACGGAAGCAGUACAUGGAGUGAUAUGGCUUCCAGUUGAGUUUCAGCAAGAAUGACGGUGCUGUCUUUCAAAACAAAGAAAUCUGAAAUAGGAGCAAGGAGUUCCCAUCAGGACUCAGCGGUAAGGAACCUGACUAGUAUCCAUGAGGUCACGGGUCCCAUCCCUGGCCUUGCUCAGUGGGUUAAGGAUCUGGUGGUGCUGUGGCUGUGGUGUAGGCUGGCAUCUCCAGCUCUGAUUCGACCCCUACCCUGGGAACUUCCAUAUGCUGCAGCUGAGGCCCUAAAAAGCAAAAAAAAAAAAAAA